UACAUGAAGACAGGUCAAAAAAGACAGAAGACCAGGGAAUUCCCGAUCAAGGAGCCAACAACACAAAAUGAACAUUUGAUUUGAUGUAAUUCUUUGUUUUCCACUUUCUUAUCUCUUUCAAUCUCUUCUUUCCCUUUUCUCGUUUCUUUUUCAGUAUUAGUCUAACCAUUUCACUGGAGUUGUCAUUUCAGUUUUUCAUAUGGUUUCGAUCUUUCCUCUUUUCUAAUUUUCUUGUUCACAUGCUAGUCUUUAUCUUCUUCUAGUGUUAUAGUUCUCUUUAUUUCCAGUUUUUCUGUACAUAUGCAUAAGUUAAAGUAUCUUACAUGUAUAUAUGGUUUUGAGUUUAUUGGUUGAUUUGAGAUAUUCAGACAUAAUUGAUGUUGUGUGUGUUUUUAGUUAGGUAACUGAUGGCAAUCAGUUAAAGGAGCCAUGUCACUGCAGCAGUGUGCAGUGAGAUAUAUGUAAUUUUUAGGCCGUUAACAUUUCUUGUUAUAUUUUGUUUCAAUUGAAUUUCCACUUUCCUAGAUGUUUCAUUCUUAAUCCUUUUCUACAUUAAGUCCCAUAGGGCAGGUUAUAUGUGUUAAUGUAUAGGCUUAGAGAAAGCCAAGCCAAAGAGCAAACUGUAGGUCCACCCUAUAUUGUUCCAAUUUGAAUGGGUUAAUCAAGUUCAUUGUCUGGUUUUCUGUUAAGACAUGGUCAAAGUACCAGCAACUCUAAUUGGGUAACAAUAAGUAACUUUAGAACUUAGUAAAAGAAUAAUCUAUGUUGGUUCAGUUUCUGCAUGCUUUAUAUAGAGAGAAAAAGCUUUCAGCUAUCAGUUGUAUCAAAGUUUUCAGAGAGAGAGAGAGAGCGACAGAGAUUCAGAGAAAGAGAUAGAACUCCUAAUUUGUACUUUUGACAAGCUUCUCAUCUAGAUUUUACAAGUUUGCUAUAUAAGGUGUUAUCUGCUUAAAGCCUCCAAUUGUAUUUUAUCUCAAUCUUGGUUCGUCUGGGAUGAUGAAAUAAAGCACCAUUUCACAUAAGCCAACGCCAUUUUUGUGAAUAUAUUUCUUUUGGAGUGUAUUGACUUUGAAACUCCGCAUUGGUUACCAAGGGUAAAGUGCGGCAGUCACA